AACGAACGCUGGCGGCAUGCCUAACACAUGCAAGUCGAACGAGACCUUCGGGUCUAGUGGCGCACGGGUGCGUAACGCGUGGGAAUCUGCCCUUGGGUUCGGAAUAACAGAGAGAAAUUUCUGCUAAUACCGGAUGAUGUCUUCGGACCAAAGAUUUAUCGCCCAGGGAUGAGCCCGCGUAGGAUUAGGUAGUUGGUGGGGUAAUGGCCCACCAAGCCGACGAUCCUUAGCUGGUCUGAGAGGAUGAUCAGCCACACUGGGACUGAGACACGGCCCAGACUCCUACGGGAGGCAGCAGUGGGGAAUAUUGGACAAUGGGCGCAAGCCUGAUCCAGCAAUGCCGCGUGAGUGAUGAAGGCCUUAGGGUUGUAAAGCUCUUUUACCAGGGAUGAUAAUGACAGUACCUGGAGAAUAAGCUCCGGCUAACUCCGUGCCAGCCGCCGCGGUAAGAC
rnacentral:rRNA from 1 species